GACGAACGCUGGCGGCGUGCUUAACACAUGCAAGUCGAACGCUGAAGCCCUUUCGGGGGUGGGUGAGUGGCGAACGGGUGAGUAACACGUGGGUAAUCUGCCCUGCACUCUGGGAUAAGCCUUGGAAACGGGGUCUAAUACCGGAUAGGACACAUCGCCGCAUGGUGUGUGUGGAAAGUUCCGGCGGUGCAGGUUGAGCCCGCGGCCUAUCAGCUUGUUGGUGGGGUGAUGGCCUACCAAGGCGACGACGGGUAGCCGGCCUGAGAGGGUGACCGGCCACUCUGGGACUGAGACACGGCCCAGACUCCUACGGGAGGCAGCAGUGGGGAAUCUUGCGCAAUGGGCGAAAGCCUGACGCAGCAACGCCGCGUGGGGGAUGACGGCCUUCGGGUUGUAAACCUCUUUCGACCGGGACGAAGGGUGACUGACGGUACCGGUAGAAGAAGCACCGGCUAACUACGUGCCAGCCGCCGCAGUAA
rnacentral:rRNA from 1 species